rnacentral:rRNA from 1 species
CUGCUGAAAGCUGGAUUGAUUAUCCCUAGUUCGAGCCCUUAUUCAUCUGCAGUGUUGCUCGUCAAGAAGAAAGAUAUGACAUGGAGGAUGUGCGUGGAUUACCGGCACUUGAACGCAAUCACAGUUAAAAGUGCCUAUCCCAUGCCAAUCAUCGAUGAACUCUCGGACGAGCUGGCAGGGUCUCGCUGGUUUUCCAAACUGGACCUAUGGGCAGGCUCUCAUCAGAUAAGGCUGCGUGAGGAGGACGAACCAAAAACUGCGUUUAAAACUCAUCAGGGGCACUUUCAGUUCCGAGUGUUACCGUACGGGGUGACGGGAGGGCCACCUACAUUCCAGGGGGGAUGA